rnacentral:rRNA from 1 species
GACGAACGCUGGCGGCGUGCUUAACACAUGCAAUCGAACGGAAAGGCCCUGCUUGCCGGGUACUCGAGUGGCGAACGGGUGGGGAACACGGGGGUGAUCUGCCCUGGACUUCGGGGUAAGCCUGGGAAACUGGGUCUAAUACCGGGUAGGAGCCAUUUUUAGGGUGGUGGUUGGAAAGGUUUUUUGGUGUAGGAGGGGCUCGCGGCCUAUCAGCUUGUUGGUGGGGUAAUGGCCUACCAAGGCGGCGACGGGUAGCCGGCCUGAGAGGGUGGACGGCCACAUUGGGACUGAGAUACGGCCCAGACUCCUACGGGAGGCAGCAGUGGGGAAUAUUGCACAAUGGGCGCAAGCCUGAUGCAGCGACGCCGCGUGGGGGAUGACGGCCUUCGGGUUGUAAACUCCUUUCGCUAGGGACGAAGCUUUUUGUGACGGUACCUAGAGAAGAAGCACCGGCUAACUACGUG